CAACUUUCAACAACGGAUCUCUUGGCUCUCGCAUCGAUGAAGAACGCAGCGAAAUGCGAUACGUAAUGUGAAUUGCAGAAUUCAGUGAAUCAUCGAAUCUUUGAACGCAUAUUGCACUCUCUGGCAUUCCGGAGAGUACACCUGUUUCAGUAUCAAAA
rnacentral:rRNA from 1 species